AAGGAGAUAAAUUGUCACUUCAUCCUUCUGAAGGAGUUUCUUCAGGUGAGGGGAUUGUCUGAGAGCCGGAGGAAAAAAUAGACUUGCAUUAUUUCCAUGAAGAUUUGUAAAAGUGCCAAAUUCAUGAGGACCAGAUCUGGUACCUGGAGCAACCCUGGGAGGCCUUGCUGAGUGCAGAUUUGAGGUUGGAGGGCACAAUCAGAAUACCUCUGAAACCAGGUCUGAGACUCUGAUGUUAUUGCUGUGUGGAGAAUGCCCCCUGCCAUACUUUUCCUGGAUCCUUCUGGAUAAACCUAUCAGACUUAUUGAAAGUUAUCCCCAUCAUUGUUAAGGAUCAAAACUCUGGAUCCACACACCCCAAAUUUGGGUAGAGUUCAGGAACAUGGGAAUUACAAUAUUGGAGCAGACCAAUGGUCCAUUCAGUCCCAUUUUUAUCCUGACCAUGACCAGUAGCAGCUUUUUCAGAAGGAAGUGCAAGAAAACCCAACAUGGGUCAGUAAUGGAAUCGCUUGCCCACAGGUGAAAAUUUUUCCCCUCACUUAAAGGUUGGCACAUGCCCUGAAGCAUGAUGUUUUAUCUCCCUUCCAUAUUUGCGUAAUCUUGUGUAAUAGAACUGCGAAAGUCUAAUUCCUUUUGAAUUUUGCUCUGCUAUGGCCUCACUGGUGUGUGUGUGUGUAUCUCUUUCCCCUGCCCUGUGUCUGUCUUUUCUGUUUAGAUAAUGAGAUCUUUGGGGCAGGGACUGUUUGCUAUCCUGUGUUUGUACAUUCCACAGACAACAGUAAAACACAUUUCUUUUUCUUACAUGUAUGUAUAGACAGAAAAUCUGAUAUUUGGAAACAAAUGCAGUUUCGCAAGAGCGAUGAAAAAAUAUACAGUAGUUCAUUUUAAGGCAUGAUUAUUUUCCCAUUUGAAGUUACUGGAGAAAUGAUUGGGCCCUUCAUGUAAUUCCUCAGGAUAUGUCACUGUAGAUCUCAGGUUUUUCAACACAACCGGAAAGUUCAUAAUAAAAAUUAGACAACUUGGUAUUUCACAAAAGGAUUUGAUUCUGAGUAGCAUGGUUCUGUACACUUGUAGCUACACUGAGUUCUGGUUUCCAAAAUAUCCUGAAGUCUACACUGAGCCACUGACUUUAUGUGACAUACACAUGUGUUAUAUAUUGAUGAUGGGGAAUUGAGGGCUUAAAAAUAAACAUCUUGGAAUUUGGCUAUGAAAAAGCAAACAAUGAUGAAUCAAGGUAGAUAUUAGCCAAUGCUCACACUUCCAAUAAUGUUGAGACUGUUAUCCAGGGAAGUGCCAAAUGAAACACUUUAGUUCUUGUGGCCAGUUUCUGUUGUACAAGUGUUUUAAAAGCAGAUUUGAUUGAACCUUGCUGUUUGAAAAUGCUGCCUUAAUCUUUUGUCAAGGACUUCUUAAAAAUUAAAAAUGUUACUUCAGCAUUACUUUGAUGUUUCAUCAUGUGUAUAUGUUCCAAGGUAAUAAAAUUGAUACACUUUUGGCCACUUACUGAAGGGGCAGUCUCCCAUUGGGCAUUGACAUUCCGUAGUAGUUAGAGAAUUUGCAUAAUGCUGUCCUCAAAUGCACACAUUGUGGCUUUUUAAAAAAAAUUGAGUUCAUAUUUCUCCCACCCCUGGAUAUUUUAAUACCUGUAUAUUAAAAUGAAAAAGUUAAAUAAAGGAAAAUGCCAAACCUCCUCAGAGGUUGUAACCAUGUAACUUUCAUACAUUUUCUUUGGAGCGUUGGCUUCAGGACUUAUUACUUACUUUUAUGGCAGGGCACAUCAGAAUGAACAUCUGAAGGUCUAAG